rnacentral:rRNA from 1 species
AGGUAGCAUAAUCAUUUGCCUUUUAAUUAAAGGCUUGUAUGAACGAUCUGACGAGGGGUUCUCUGUCUACAUAAUAAUUUUUUAAUUUUAUAUAAAGGUAAAAAAGCCUUCUUAUUAUAGAAGGACGACAAGACCCUAAAACCUAUUAUUUUCUCUUUUUCAAGACUAAGUAUUAGAUUAAGAUUUUCAAUAAAUUGCUGGGGCGGCAAUAAUUACCAACAAUUUGAAUAACCCCGCCUUGUGCGCUUUUAUUGAACCCCAUAGGCCUUCAGUCAGGUACUUUAGGGAUAACAGCACAAUCCCCUUUAGAGCUCUAAUCGACAGGCGGUUCUGUGACCUCGAUGUUGAAUUGAGAAACCUUAUUUAAGCAGCCUUAAAUACAGAA